GACGAACGCUGGCGGCGUGCUUAACACAUGCAAGUCGAACGGAAAGGCCCUGCUUUUGUGGGGUGCUCGAGUGGCGAACGGGUGAGUAACACGUGAGUAACCUGCCCUUGACUUUGGGAUAACUUCAGGAAACUGGGGCUAAUACCGGAUAGGAGCUCCUGCUGCAUGGUGGGGGUUGGAAAGUUUCGGCGGUUGGGGAUGGACUCGCGGCUUAUCAGCUUGUUGGUAGGGUAGUGGCUUACCAAGGCUUUGACGGGUAGCCGGCCUGAGAGGGUGACCGGCCACAUUGGGACUGAGAUACGGCCCAGACCCCUACGGGAGGCAGCAGUGGGGAAUAUUGCACAAUGGGCGGAAGCCUGAUGCAGCAACGCCGCGUGCGGGACGACGGCCUUCGGGUUGUAAACCGCUUUCGCCUGUGACGAAGCGUGAGUGACGGUAAUGGGUAAAGAAGCACCGGCUAACUACGUG
rnacentral:rRNA from 1 species